rnacentral:rRNA from 1 species
CACAUGCAAGUCGAGGGGCAGCACGAGAUAGUUUACUAUUUUGGUGGCGACCGGCGCACGGGUGCGUAACGCGUAUGCAACCUACCUUAUACUGGAGUAUAGCCCGGAGAAAUCCGGAUUAAUCCUCCAUAGUACUGAUGAUUUGCAUAAUGAAUCAGUUAAAGUUUCGGCGGUAUAAGAUGGGCAUGCGUCCUAUUAGCUAGAUGGAGAGGUAACGGCUCACCAUGGCAACGAUAGGUAGGGGGCCUGAGAGGGUGGUCCCCCACACUGGUACUGAGACACGGACCAGACUCCUACGGGAGGCAGCAGUGAGGAAUAUUGGUCAAUGGGCGAAAGCCUGAACCAGCCAUGCCGCGUGCAGGAAGAAUGUCCUAUGGAUUGUAAACUGCUUUUAUUUGGGAAUAAACCCCUCUACGUGUAGAGGGCUGAAGGUACCAAAUGAAUAAGCACCGGCUAACUCCGUGCCAGCAGCCGCGGUAAUACGGAGGGUGCAAGCGUUAUCCGGAAUUAUUGGGUUUAAAGGGUCCGCAGGCGGACAUAUAAGUCAGUGGUGAAAGCCUACAGCUUAACUGUAGAACUGCCAUUGAUACUGUAUGUCUUGAAUUUGAUCGAAGUGGGCGGAAUGUGUAAUGUAGCGGUGAAAUGCUUAGAUAUUACACAGAACACCGAUAGCGAAGGCAGCUCACUAGGUUAUAAUUGACGCUCAUGGACGAAAGCGUGGGGAGCGAACAGGAUUAGAUACCCUGGUAGUCCACGCCGUAAACGAUGAUUACUCGUUCUUGCUAUUUAUAGUAGGGGCUAAGCGAAAGUGAUAAGUAAUCCACCUGGGGAGUACGAUCGCAAGGUUGAAACUCAAAGGAAUUGACGGGGGCCCGCACAAGCGGUGGAGCAUGUGUUUAAUUCGAUGAUACGCGAGGAACCUUACCAGGCUUAAUGUAGAUUGCAUGCGUGAAACAUGCCAGUCUUCGGACAUCUACAGUGCUGCAUGCUGUCGUCAGCUCGUGCGUGAGGUGUGGGUAAGUCCCGCAACGAGCGCACUCCUUAUCUUUAGUUGCCAA